rnacentral:rRNA from 1 species
UACGGGGGGAGCAAGCGUUGUUCGGAUUUACUGGGCGUAAAGCGCGCGCAGGCGGCGGUGUAAGCAUGGCGUGAAAGCCCCUGGCUUAACCAGGGAGGGUCGUCGUGGACUGCACCGCUUGAGGGCGGUAGGGGCUGGUGGAAUGCCUGGUGUAGUGGUGAAAUGCGUAGAGAUCAGGCGGAACACCCGUGGCGAAGGCGGCCAGCUGGGCCGUCCCUGACGCUGAGGCGCGAAGGCGUGGGGAGCGAACGGG